rnacentral:rRNA from 1 species
AUACGGAGGGUGCAAGCGUUAAACGGAAUUACUGGGCGUAAAGCGUACGUAGGCGGUUCGUUAAGUUAGAUGUGAAAGCCCCGGGCUUAACCUGGGAACUGCAUUUAAAACUGGCGAACUAGAGUUGAGUAGAGGGGAGUGGAAUUUCAGGUGUAGCGGUGAAAUGCGUAGAGAUCUGAAGGAACACCAGUGGCGAAGGCGACUCCCUGGACUCGAACUGACGCUGAGGUACGAAAGCGUGGGUAGCAAACGGGAUUAGAAACCCUAGUAGUCC